UGGGGAAUAUUGGACAAUGGGCGAAAGCCUGAUCCAGCAAUACCGCGUGAGUGAUGAAGGUCUUCGGAUUGUAAAGCUCUUUUAGUAGGGAAGAUAAUGACGGUACCUACAGAAAAAGCACCGGCAAACUUCGUGCCAGCAGCCGCGGUAAUACGAAGGGUGCUAGCGUUGUUCGGAAUCACUGGGCGUAAAGCGUACGUAGGCGGCUUUGUAAGUCGAUUGUGAAAGCCCCAAGCUUAACUUGGGAAUUGCAACCGAAACUGCUUUGCUUGAGUUUGGUGGGGGAUAGCGGAAUUCCUAGUGUAGGGGUGAAAUCCGUAGAUAUUAGGAGGAACACCGGCGGCGAAAGCGGCUAUCUACGCCAACACUGACGCUAAGGUACGAAAGCGUGGGGAGCAAACAGG
rnacentral:rRNA from 1 species